rnacentral:rRNA from 1 species
CCUACGGGAGGCAGCAGUAGGGAAUAUUGCUCAAUGGGGGAAACCCUGAAGCAGCAACGCCGCGUGGAGGAUGAAGGUUCUCGGAUUGUAAACUCCUUUUGUUAGAGAAGAUAAUGAUGGUAUCUAACGGAUAAGCUACGGAUAACUCCGUGCCAGAAGCCGCGGUAAUACGGAGGGUGCAAGCGUUAUUCGGAAUAACUGGGCGUAAAGCGCGCGUAGGCGGGAUAGCAAGUCAGAUGUGAAAUCCUAUGGCUUAACCAUAGAACUGCAGUUGAAACUGUUAUUCUAGAGUAUGGGAGAGGUAGGUGGAAUUCUUGGUGUAGGGGUAAAAUCCGUAGAGAUCAAGAGGAAUACUCAUUGCGAAGGCGACCUGCUAGAACAUAACUGACGCUGAGGCGCGAAAGCGUGGGGAUCAAACAGGAUUAGAUACCCGGGUAGUC